CUGAACUAUGAUUGUAAUUUUUCCAUCUGUGCACAAAGAAAUCUCCCAUUGAGUUCAUUGUCUUUUGACUGACUGCUGGUAAGAAUUUUCUCUACUUACAGAUAGCAGGACUGGAUCCUGAACCGGUACGAUUUCAUUGUUAUAUUGCUAUUAUGUAGACAAGCUCCAAAAUCCUAUACCUGUUCUUAGCACUGUAGGAGCAGGACUUGUAGCUUUGAAAAUGUUUCUUACAAAUUAUGAAAUGCAAGGCAAACAGGGGAUAAAAAAAAAUAACAGUUAAUCUAUUAGGAUUUACAGGGUAGAUUCAUAAAUGAGAACAACAAAUGUUGACCUAUCUACUAUUUCCUGUAUGUAGCAGCUUAGGAAAGAUGGCUUUACAUCUGCAGUCUUCCACCAUUAAACCAGAGCCAUCGCUGUACUGGUGAGACAAACUUUGGACAUUACGGUUCCAGCCUCUGAUGACGAUUUUGGGCUGUAGCAAGUAAUAUCUUUAAUCCCUGAUUUUUAAUCUCGUUCCGAAAAGUAUCUGAGGUCACUUGAUCAAGAAAAGGAUCUUUCACAGUGAUUGUGUUUUUGUAGGAAGAAAAAUGUACAGAAUUGUAUUGUUAAAAAUAUUCAGUCCAAGUGUCUUCAAAGAGCUUUGAAUCAGAACCUGAGUCCUAACACUUACCAAAACUGGUAUAAUCAAAACCUGUUAAAAAUCCAUACGUUUUGCUUAGUUCAUCUGCUUCCUCUCUCUUCUGUAUGUUUAUCACUGCAGUGCUGAUUUUCUUACUACGUCUUUACAGCAUAUAUUUAAAAAAAAAGAUAAUUAGUUAAUCCAGAUCAAGAGUGUUAUAAAAUUAUUUUGAAAUGUUUAUAAUUGUCCUUUAUUUGCUAAAAUAUACAUUUGACUCCACAAGACAAACAUUAAUAUGCAGAUCAGUGGACUAUAAAAUUCAUUUUGGUGCCUCCAGGGCAGUAUUUUUAUAAAUACAGAAACAUAAUCAUGCAUCCUCCAGAGGACUAAAAAUAAUUAUACAAAUUUACAACAAAGCCCAAGGCAGUGUCUCCUUUUAACUGUCUGUUUUCAAUAUAAUUUAAAUCUUGUUAAAACUUAAUUACUAAUUCUCUUCUGUAAUAAUUUAGGUAGAAGAGCGAAGUCUAAGCUUGCUGUUUGAGAGAGAGAACUUCAUCAGAGAAACAAAGACACUAAGGCACAGACUGACAAAAUAGGACAGUGCAUAGAAAAACUUGCUCAGGCUAUAUGCCCCUGGAAGAGGAGCUGCAGGACCAAUGCUUUCGUCCUCUGUACCUGUUCCUCAGCUGUUCUCUAUCUGGGAGCUGGUGGCUGCUCAGAACAGCUGUAGAACUUUUAGGUAAACCUGAUGGAGUUGAGAACUUAGCUGAACCUACUCAACCUGUAACCAAUGUGACGCAGCACCAUGGGGCCUUGUGUUUCCAGGGUGAAAAGUCCAGAGGACUGAGGCUGGAAAACUGCAAAGAUAUACCCGGAGAAGGAGCAGUGUAACUGCACAACCUCUGCCAACGGGUUGGGCUGAGAACAAGACUGGAUGACGCACUGGAUGCCUUCAGGUGGGUAAAGUAAGAGUUAUUGUGAGUAGUGGUGUGACAGUCCCCAGUAGCAAUACUGUAGUCAUAGUAUAGCAGACUUACAGUGUUCCAGCCUCCAGUCUCUGCUCUUUUCUCCAGUUAUGCACUGCCUAGCCCAAG